GUAAAAAAAUGUUUUUUAUAGCUUGUUGGACGUAUUGCAAUAUAUAUCAUCGCAAGUUGUGGUUAUUGGUCUAAGUUGUCUUACUGAUAGUUGUUGAUCAAUCUGGAAUUUAUUUGCAUGAUGAUGAUCAACUCUUGGAGAAGAUGGUAACAUUUCGUUUCUCACAUCGAAAAUAGUUAUUCUUUCCCCCUCGAAUGAAGACUCUUUAAGAUUAGUGGACCAUGUUCUUUUACUUCCCAAGGACUCAAGUUUGUCUUCCCACUAUGUAGAACAAAUUAAUCUCAAGCUUUCAGUUUUGAAACUUAAUACAUGUUCUUGUCUGAUAACUAUGCUCAAAGUUGAGGUGCCUCAUUUUGAAAUAUGCUCAUCUAAUUGAUGAAUAAAUGAAGUGAUGCUCAUUACAAAAUUUUGUUUUGU